AUUGAACGCUGGCGGCAGGCUUAACACAUGCAAGUCGAGCGGGGGAAGGUAGCUUGCUACCGGACCUAGCGGCGGACGGGUGAGUAAUGCUUAGGAAUCUGCCUAUUAGUGGGGGACAACAUCUCGAAAGGGAUGCUAAUACCGCAUACGUCCUACGGAAGAAAGCAGGGGAUCUUCGGACCUUGCGCUAAUAGAUGAGCCUAAGUCGGAUUAGCUAGUUGGUGGGGUAAAGGCCUACCAAGGCGACGAUCUGUAGCGGGUCUGAGAGGAUGAUCCGCCACACUGGGACUGAGACACGGCCCAGACUCCUACGGGAGGCAGCAGUGGGGAAUAUUGGACAAUGGGGGGAACCCUGAUCCAGCCAUGCCGCGUGUGUGAAGAAGGCCUUAUGGUUGUAAAGCACUUUAAGCGAGGAGGAGGCUACUUUAGUUAAUACCUAGAGAUAGUGGACGUUACUCGCAGAAUAAGCACCGGCUAACUCUGUGCCAGCAGCCGCGGUAAUACAGAGGGUGCGAGCGUUAAUCGGAUUUACUGGGCGUAAAGCGUGCGUAGGCGGCUUAUUAAGUCGGAUGUGAAAUCCCCGAGCUUAACUUGGGAAUUGCAUUCGAUACUGGUGAGCUAGAGUAUGGGAGAGGAUGGUAGAAUUCCAGGUGUAGCGGUGAAAUGCGUAGAGAUCUGGAGGAAUACCGAUGGCGAAGCAGCCAUCUGGCCUAAUACUGACGCUGAGGUACGAAAGCAUGGGGAGCAA
rnacentral:rRNA from 1 species